CUUCAUUCUAGGCUUUUUUAAAAAAUCAUUUAUUUUUGGCUGCACAGGGUCUUCGUUGCGGUGCCUGGGCUUCUUGUUACAAUGGCCUCUCUCAUUGCAGAGCAAGGGCUUUGGUAGUUGUGUUACAGGGGUUGAGUUGCGCUCCGCAUGUGGAAUCUUCCUGGACCAGGGAUUGAAACCAUGCCCUGUCCUCUGCAUUGGCAGGGAGAUUCCUGUUCACUGUGCCACCAGGGAAGUCCACGGGAAACAUGAUAACCUCAAAUCACUGAAGAGAAGAAAAUACCUGGAGGGUUUACUACUGGAUCAAGAUUUUCAGGCCAAAUCCUCACCCGAAGCCUGAUCUCCAAAGACAGGAUCAUCUCUAAGAUGAAGAUUCAGGACCAGAUAACAGUUGACACAGCUGCUGUUGAAAGCACUUCAUUAACGGUGACUUCGGAAUACAUUUUAGGAAUAGCUGGCUCCACCCAAAGCCCCCAUUGAAAUCCCAUGCAAUUGUUGAAGUGACAGUCCCCACUUGGUUGGAUAGAAAGGUGGAUUCUUUACCAGCUGAGCUACCAG
ensembl:lncRNA